rnacentral:rRNA from 1 species
UUAUUUGUUUAAGCCACUAUUUAUUUCCUUUAAUUUUCGUGUUCUCUUGGUAUAACCGUAAGGGACCUUUAAAUUGAUUUUAAGAAACUUUUCAUGUACCUUUUGUAUCAGGGUGGAUCAAACUUUUUUUUGAAAAACACUUUCCCGAAACAAAAUGAGCUACCUUAUUUAUUAUAUUUUGUAGCAAAAAAAUAGUAAAAAUUUAGUAGAAGUGAAAUUCCAUUCGUAUUUUUUUAUACCUGGUAUUUUCAAAAAGUAUAAUUACUUAAACCUAAAAAGGGACAAUCUUUUUUAGAUAUUUAUUUUUCAUUUCACACACCCACUUAGGAUUAGAAGUGUCUUCCAGUGUAAAAACUUUUCUUCUUAUAACCAGAUAAAUUUUUUUAUGAAACUCUGUUCCUUUUAUAGAAACAAUGACUCAAUCAGUAAAGAACUAUUUCGUUCAUUUUUUAAAAUAUUCUAGAAACGAUUUUUCUAACUUCUUUUCAUUAACUUGGCUAAGUUUUCUGACUGUUUACCAAAAACAUUUCUGAAUGAUUAUUAUUUUUAGUAAGACCUGCUCAAUGAUAUUUUUCAAUAGCCGCAAUUUACGUGCUAAGGUAGCAUAAUCAUUUGCCUUAUAAUUUAAGGCUAGUAUGAAAGGUUUAACAUGAUAACUUCUUUGUAAAUUUGAUUCCUAAAAUUUUACUUAUAAGUAAAAAGGCUUAUAUUCUCAAGGGGGACGACAAGACCCUAUCGAGCUUUACUUCUUUAGUUGAACUGGGGUGGUAAAAAACUAAAUCUUUUCAUUUAUUUUCUUUUUAUCCUUAUUAUAAGAUUUUCAAGUUACCGUAGGGAUAACAGCAUAAUUUUUUUCUAGAGACCUUAUCUAAAAAAAAGAUUGUGACCUCGAUGUUGAAUUAAUUUUCUUCUUGGAGCAGAAUCUAGAAAGAA